UUAGUUCUUACUUUCUUGAUGCUUAGCUCAAUUGGUCACUUAAUGUUUGUAAUAAUUUGUAUCAUUUAUAGUAAGAUUAACUUGUCCAAAGGAUUGUAAAUAUUUGUUUUAAUGUGCUGCACUCAUGGUAUUGUUACUUUUAGAUCUAUCGUCAGCACGUAAGCGAGGCAAAAGAUCUCGAAAUAGGGUUCAUGGCUGUGAUAACCGUUGCGCCGGUUUUGGAAAUUGCUGCCCACCAGGCUAGCCUCUAUGAUUGCAUGCUGUAUGAGAUCUGUCGUAAUAAUCCUAGUCCCUUUAAAAAGCAUUGUGAAAUUAAUAAAAACUAUCUGUUCGAUGACUGAAUUACCAUCUUAAACAAAUUAAAGAACCGUUAAAAAC